CUCGGACUAGGUACAACUUGAAGUAGACAGGAUAGCCUGGGGUCUUUCCUUUUUACAAUCCAAAUGGGACACUGGCAAGCUGACAGUAUUAGUAUAAUUUUACAUCUGAAUUCAGAAACCUUUGCAAGUUGCGUUCACAUGGUAGAAGUGUGAAUUGAUGUAUAUAUGGAGUGUACGGUAUGAGGCGUAUUAUGAACAUAAUCAGAAAUCAUGAAAAGGAAACAUUUGUUCACAUUAAUAUAGGAAAUUAAAAUUAUUGCCUGAAUUAAUGAUAAAUCCC